AGAAAGCGCCAACGCAGAGCAUGCUUCUUUCUCCUUCCUCAGUGUUUCUGCCCCAGGAGCUAAGGCCCCCACCCAGGUGGAGGAUGGUAACUUCAGGCUGAGCACGAGAUUCCUGGAACACGGCCCUAUUACCUACCACCAACUAGUCAGAAGAAAGUCACACAACUGGAAGCCCUCAAGCCUCAUUUUGCCUAUUAAAAACUUCACCCUAACAAAAAAAAGAAAAGAAAAAAAAUUCACCUCAAAAACCAUCAGAGAGUUCAGGGUUUCUGAGCACGAGCCACUGUUCUCCUCGUUUGGCCCUGCAGUAAAAACUUUCUCUACUCCAAAAACAAAAACAAAAAAAAAA